CACAUCGAAAGGCUAUUGAGACAGUUUUUAACAUCUCUAAUAGGAAAUCACCAAAUAUAUAUAUACACCACAAAAUUAGUAUAAAAACAUAUGAACAUAAAAACAGAAAAUAAUAAAUAAAUAAAACUAAUAUUAACAACGAUAGAUCAUUACACAAUUUAGAGUAACCCAUCAACAGCUGAUGAAUUGAUUGUUUUUGUUGGGGAUGAAAGCAAGUGUUUCUAAAACAGAGAAUAAAAACAUAAAAGUUUUUGAAUCUUAGAUUCCCUUUUUAACUUUUUGUUCCUUUUCGUUUGUUUUCCCACAAAGCACAGGAAUAUUAUUAGGUAUCCAUUCCCAUCAUUUAUCAUAGACUACAACUAAAC
rnacentral:lncRNA from 1 species